rnacentral:rRNA from 1 species
UACGUAGGGUGCAAGCGUUGUCCGGAAUUACUGGGCGUAAAGGGCUCGUAGGCGGCCAACUAAGUCAGACGUGAAAUCCCUCGGCUUAACCGGGGAACUGCGUCUGAUACUGGAUGGCUUGAAUCCGGGAGAGGGAUGCGGAAUUCCAGGUGUAGCGGUGAAAUGCGUAGAUAUCUGGAGGAACACCGGUGGCGAAGGCGGCGUCCUGGACCGGCAUUGACGCUGAGGAGCGAAAGCCAGGGGAGCAAACGGG